rnacentral:rRNA from 1 species
GUGAACACGGAGCUUGCUCUGUGGGAUCAGUGGCGAACGGGUGAGUAACACGUGAGCAACCUGCCCCUGACUCUGGGAUAAGCGCUGGAAACGGCGUCUAAUACUGGAUAUGUGACGUGACCGCAUGGUCUGCGUCUGGAAAGAAUUUCGGUUGGGGAUGGGCUCGCGGCCUAUCAGCUUGUUGGUGAGGUAAUGGCUCACCAAGGCGUCGACGGGUAGCCGGCCUGAGAGGGUGACCGGCCACACUGGGACUGAGACACGGCCCAGACUCCUACGGGAGGCAGCAGUGGGGAAUAUUGCACAAUGGGCGCAAGCCUGAUGCAGCAACGCCGCGUGAGGGACGACGGCCUUCGGGUUGUAAACCUCUUUUAGCAGGGAAGAAGCGAAAGUGACGGUACCUGCAGAAAAAGCGCCGGCUAACUACGUGCCAGCAGCCGCGGUAAUACGUAGGGCGCAAGCGUUAUCCGGAAUUAUUGGGCGUAAAGAGCUCGUAGGCGGUUUGUCGCGUCUGCUGUGAAAUCCGGAGGCUCAACCUCCGGCCUGCAGUGGGUACGGGCAGACUAGAGUGCGGUAGGGGAGAUUGGAAUUCCUGGUGUAGCGGUGGAAUGCGCAGAUAUCAGGAGGAACACCGAUGGCGAAGGCAGAUCUCUGGGCCGUAACUGACGCUGAGGAGCGAAAGGGUGGGGAGCAAACAGGCUUAGAUACCCUGGUAGUCCACCCCGUAAACGUUGGGAACUAGUUGUGGGGUCCAUUCCACGGAUUCCGCGACGCAGCUAACGCAUUAAGUUCCCCGCCUGGGGAGUACGGCCGCAAGGCUAAAACUCAAAGGAAUUGACGGGGACCCGCACAAGCGGCGGAGCAUGCGGAUUAAUUCGAUGCAACGCGAAGAACCUUACCAAGGCUUGACAUAUACGAGAACGGGCCAGAAAUGGUCAACUCUUUGGACACUCGUAAACAGGUGGUGCAUGGUUGUCGUCAGCUCGUGUCGUGAGAUGUUGGGUUAAGUCCCGCAACGAGCGCAACCCUCGUUCUAUGUUGCCAGCACGUAAUGGUGGGAACUCAUGGGAUACUGCCGGGGUCAACUCGGAAGAAGGUGGGGAUGACGUCAAAUCAUCAUGCCCCUUAUGUCUUGGGCUUCACGCAUGCUACAAUGGCCGGUACAAAGGGCUGCAAUACCGCGAGGUGGAGCGAAUCCCAAAAAGCCGGUCCCAGUUCGGAUUGAGGUCUGCAACUCGACCUCAUGAAGUCGGAGUCGCUAGUAAUCGCAGA